rnacentral:lncRNA from 1 species
AGGGUCACUUAAGGAAAGGACAAGCAUUAGCUAACGUGGGGAAAAUAGAAGAAUCUUUAAGAGAGUUUCUAUUUUGCCUCGCCCUGGAUUUUGGGAACAGGACAGCCAAAUCAGAGGCUCAAAAGCUUCUACUUAGUUUAUUUUCACCCAUCCCGGGAAAUGCUCAGGAACAUUUACCCAAUAUCCUGCAGCUGUUGUCACCUCACUCUAGACUGAAGGGGAAUCUUCUAAAUUCAGUGGGAUCUGGAGACACCAGCCAUAACCUACAAAGGUUGCUCAAGGUAAAUGUGGAACAGAAAAAGAGUUUCCCUGCUCAGGAAGAACAAAAAAUGACUGACUGUAGCAGUCUGAGAAAAUCCAUUCAAAGGGUAGAAAGUAAAAAAGGCUGCUCAGAAGAUGAGAACAAACACGCCUCCGCCCCAGAGUCUGCCCUUCUCAUUUCUGAGAAAUGCAGCCUUCUGAAGAGAAAGCACUGCUCUGAGGAAAUGAGAAGUGCCGAGGUGCCCUGCAAACUCAUGAAGAAAGGUGCAAUUGAUGCCAAGGGAUCUAGUGCUGGACGCCGUGUUCCAUUUGAAUUUGUGGACCCCUCUGACCUGGAUUGCUCUUUAUGUAUGAGGUAUCCAUUAUUUUCUAACGAAUGUUUUUAUGUUGCAUCUGUUUUUCACUGCCAUGAUCUGUGGCAUUUC